ensembl:lncRNA PMS2P4 PMS1 homolog 2, mismatch repair system component pseudogene 4
GAGGGAACUUUCCCAGGCCCCGAGGCGGAUCGGGUAUUGAGUCCAUGGAGCGAGCUGAGAGCUAGAGUACAGAACCUGCUAAGGCCAUCAAACCUAUCGAUCGGAAGUCAGUCCAUCAGAUUUGCUCUGGGCCGGUGGUACUGAGUCUAAGCACUGCGGUGAAGGAGUUAGUAGAAAACAGUCUGGAUGCUGGUGCCACCAAUAUUGAUCUAAAGCUUAAGGACUAUGGAGUGGAUCUCAUUGAAGUUUCAGACAAUGGAUGUGGGGUAGAAGAAGAAAACUUUGAAGGCUUAACGAUGUCACCAUUUCUACCUGCCACGCAUCGGCGAAGGUUGGGACUCGACUGGUGUUUGAUCACGAUGGGAAAAUCAUCCAGAAAACCCCCUACCCCCACCCCAGAGGGACCACAGUCAGCGUGAAGCAGUUAUUUUCUACACUACCUGUGCACCAUAAGGAAUUUCAAAGGAAUAUUAAGAAGACGUGCCUGUUUCCCCUUCGCCUUCUGCCGUGAUUGUCAGUUUCCUGAGGCCUCCCCAGCCAUGCUUCCUGUACAGCCUGCAGAACUGUCACCUGACCCAGCUCAGGAGCUUAAAGACAGGGCCAAUGGACCAGGCCUGAGAAGUGACUACUUCCUAAGAAGUGGUACCAUAUUUUCAUUUCUUUCACUAGACACUAGUAUAAGAAUACAGAGGCCAUGACUGGAAAAUGACAAGAUCUGCAUACUCCGAGAUCAACAACGAAAAGGAAAAGAAGCGCCAGAAAACACAUAAUUGGAAGGAAUCUAAAUGAGCCUUGUUUUGCUUUUUGGAUGGGUUUCUGUAUUAUUUCUUCGUGGCCAUGGUUCCCAAGCAGUGGGAACAGAGUACUCACUGGGACACUGCAGGGUAUCUUGAAUUUUAAAGAGGAACGCAGUGACACUGGACAUCUGUUGGGCAUUUCAACAACUGCUAGCUUGAGAUAGUUCCCAGUUUCAACGUUAGGCUGUGUCACACUUCUUUCAAUGAUGUCAUAACAAAUAGAACUGCUAGGUAUCUCUUUUGACCUACAGGUCUUGUGAAAAAGCUAUUGAGGCACUAGAGCACUAUGAAUGUGCAAGUUGGAAACCUCCACGUUAGGGUAUAUCUGGUGUUUAAGUAAUUAAUUUCAAAGCAUUUUGGAUGCUUGACCAUCUGUCUCACUCUGGGCAUUCUAAGGACAACUUCUCAUAAUCUGGACUCCAUAAUUUGAUAUCUAUAUCUUUGCUGGAAUUUCUUCCUGACGUCACCGAGUCAACCCAUUCACUCUCUACCUACAUGAAAAAUAAAUAUGCAAGUAACAUCA